rnacentral:rRNA from 1 species
UACGUAGGGCGCAAGCGUUGUCCGGAAUUAUUGGGCGUAAAGAGCUCGUAGGUGGCCUGUCACGUCGGGUGUGAAAGCUUGGGGCUUAACUCCAGGUCUGCAUUCGAUACGGGCUGGCUAGAGGUAGGUAGGGGAGAACGGAAUUCCUGGUGUAGCGGUGAAAUGCGCAGAUAUCAGGAGGAACACCGGUGGCGAAGGCGGUUCUCUGGGCCUUACCUGACGCUCAGGUGCGAAAGCUAGGGGAGCGAACAGG